CGACCCUCAAGCACAGCUUGGUGUUGGGCAUGGUCCCGGGGGACCUGCCCGUAACUUGUAGGCGGCCGACGCCCGCGCCCCCAGCGUAGCAAGCUCACGCAUUCGCUCGGGGACGGUGUGUCUGGCCUGCCACUAAAUUAUUCCAAG
rnacentral:misc_RNA from 2 species